CAAUAGCGUAUAUUAAAGUUGUUGCGGUUAAAAAGCUCGUAGUUGGAUUUCUGCUGAGAACGACCGGUCCGCCCUCUGGGUGUGUAUCUGGCUCUUUCUUGGCAUCUUCUUGGUGAACGUUGCUGCACUUGACUGUGUGGAGCGCUACCCAGGACUUUUACUUUGAAAAAAUUAGAGUGUUCAAAGCAGGCCUUUUCGCUUGAAUACAUUAGCAUGGAAUAAUAGAAUAGGACUUUGGUUCUAUUUUGUUGGUUUCUAGGACCGAAGUAAUGAUUAAUAGGGAUAGUUGGGGGCAUUAGUAUUUAAUUGUCAGAGGUGAAAUUCUUGGAUUUAUGAAAGACUAACAUCUGCGAAAGCAUUUGCCAAGGAUGUUUNCAUUG
rnacentral:rRNA from 1 species